UGGCCGCAGUACCUUGACUGUGCAAAGGUAGCAUAAUAAUUAGGCUGUUAAUUACAGUCUCGCAUGAAAGGUCAGACGCAAAAAUAACUUUCUUAUUAUCAAAACUGAAACUAAAUAAUCAGUAAAAAUGCUAAUAAACAAAUUAAACAAGAAGACCCUAUUAAGUUUAAUAUUAAACUUAACAUUAACAGAGCUCUAAUAAAACUAAAUAUUUCGUUGGGGCGACAAAUAGUACAAAAACACUGUCAAAAACACACUUGCAUAUAAGAAAUCGAACCAUUAAACAUGAUCAUAAGAACAAAUUACUAUAGGGAUAACAGCAUAAUUUUAUUAAAGAGUCCACAUCGAUAAUAAAGAUUAUGACCUCGAUGUUGAAUCAAAACCUCCUUAAAAUGCAGACGUUUUAAAAGAUAGUCUGUUCGACUAUUAAACUUUUACG
rnacentral:rRNA from 1 species